UGCAUUUUGAUGGCAAGGUACUAAAAGCGGAACUAUCCAGAGAAGAUUAGCAUGCCUGUGCUUGAAGACUACACACCAAUGCAUACAGCAGUCCAUUUUCAAAUUUUU
ensembl:snRNA U6 U6 spliceosomal RNA